UACGGAGGGGACUAGCGUUGUUCGGAAUUACUGGGCGUAAAGCGCACGUAGGCGGCUUUGUAAGUCAGGGGUGAAAUCCCGGGGCUCAACCUCGGAACUGCCUUUGAUACUGCAAAUCUCGAGUCCGGAAGAGGUGAGUGGAAUUCCUAGUGUAGAGGUGAAAUUCGUAGAUAUUAGGAAGAACACCAGUGGCGAAGGCGGCUCACUGGUCCGGUACUGACGCUGAGGUGCGAAAGCGUGAGGAGCAAACAGG
rnacentral:rRNA from 1 species